AAGUCGUAACAAGGUUUCCGUAGGUGAACCUGCGGAAGGAUCAUUACAGAAUAAUCUUGAUGGGUUGUUGCUGGCUCUCUUGAGGGGCAUGUGCACAUUCAUCAUCUUUAUAUUUCCACCUGUGCACCUUUAGUAGUUCUGGAAUAUUGUGUAGUCAAUCUUGUUGACUGUGUUUGAAGGGCUGCUGUGCUGUGAAAGGCCAGCUUUCCUUUACAUUUUCCAGGUCUAUGUUCUUUAUAUACACCACGUAUGUUACAGAAUGAAAUGUUCAGGCCUUUAAAAGCCUAUAAAACCAAUAUACAACUUUCAGCAACGGAUCUCUUGGCUCUC
rnacentral:misc_RNA from 1 species